rnacentral:rRNA from 1 species
CCUACGGGAGGCAGCAGUGAGGAAUAUUGGUCAAUGGGCGAGAGCCUGAACCAGCCAAGUCGCGUGAGGGAGUACUGCCCUAUGGGUUGUAAACCUCUUUUGUCGGGGAGCAAAAGCCGGACGUGUCCGGCUGUGAGAGUACCCGAAGAAAAAGCAUCGGCUAACUCCGUGCCAGCAGCCGCGGUAAUACGGGGGAUGCGCGCGUUAUCCGGAUUUAUUGGGGUUAAAGGGUGCGCAGGCGGAUUUUUAAGUCAGCGGUCAAAUCGUGGGGCUCAACCCCAUCCAGCCGUUGAAACUGGGGAUCUAGAGUGUGCGAGAGGUAUGCGGAAUGCGUGGUGUAGCGGUGAAAUGCAUAGAUAUCACGCAGAACCCCGAUUGCGAAGGCAGCAUACCGGUGCACAACUGACGCUCAGGCACGAAAGCGUGGGUAUCGAACAGGAUUAGAUACCCGGGUAGUC